UUUAGUCGAUUAUUGCCCCGUCGCCGUCGCCGUCGCCGUCGCACGGACGAUCUCGUCGUCGGUUAGGUAGCUAAUAUAUUUUUUUUUUUAUUUAUUUUUUUUCCUUCUUCGUGCGAACGUCGUUCGAGAAAAAAAAAAGACUAAUCUGAAUAAAUUACGACGUCUGUUAUAAUUAUUAUACUAUCGAAACCGGUUGUGUUAGUGGUAGUAGUAGUAGUAUAAGAGCGGUAGUACUGUUGUAGUAUAGUAGUAGUAGUAGUAGUAGUAGUAGUAGUAGUAGUAGUAGUAGUUGUAUUGGUAGUACCGACGGGUUUUUCAGCAGUAUACAUAUACAUAGUAGUUGGAGUGAUCUGAUUUUAGUGGAAACCCAUUCCCUCCUCUCUCGGUCCGUUUUUUUACAUUUUUUUAUACCGUGCACGACAAACAUG